GGGUCACUAUGCCUGGAACGGUUAGUGGCUGAAAGCUCCGGCGGCACAGGAUGGGUCUGCGGCGUAUCAGGUCGUAGGGGGUGUAACGUACCUCCUAGCCUUCGACGCGUACGGGUUGUGAGAGCAAUUGCCCGGAGAUGGAUUCUGAGACACGAAUCCAGGCCCUACGGGGCGCAGCAGGCGCGAAAACUUGACAAUGCGAGAAAUCGUGAUCAGGGGACUCCAGUUGGCUGGAUCAAAAGUCCAGUCUGAACCGACUUUAAAUCGGUCGGGUAAUAGGGGCGGGAAAGACCGGUGCCAGCCGCCGCGGUAAUACCGGCGCCCCAAGUGGUCGUCACUAUUAUUGGGCCUAAAACGUCCGUAGCCGGUUUGGUAAGUCCGUGGGUAAAUCAGACAGCCCAACUGUCUGAAUUCUGCGGGGACUGCCAGACUUGAGACCGGGAGAGGUGCGGGGUACCUGCGGGGUACCGGUAAAAUGGGAUCAUCCCGCAGAGACCACCUGUUGCGAAGGCGCCGCACUAGAACGGAUCUGACGGUCAGGGACGAAGCCUAGGGGCACGAACCGGAUUAGAUACCCGGGUAGUCCUAGGUGUAAACGCUGUGGACUUGGUGUCGGGGACCUUCUGAGGGUUUCCGGUGCCGGAGUGAAGAUGUUAAGUCCACUGCCUGGGGAGUACGGUCGCAAGGCUGAAACUUAAAGGAAUUGGCGGGGGAGCACCGCAACGAGAGGAGCGUGCGGUUU
rnacentral:rRNA from 1 species